AUUGAACGCUGGCGGCAGGCUUAACACAUGCAAGUCGCACGAGUCGCGGACGGGUGAGUCAUGCUUGGGAAUCUAGCUUAGGGAGGGGGAUAACUACGGGAAACUGUAGCUAAUACCGCCUACCAUAGGAUGAGACCUGGUGGGAUUAGGUAGUGGGUGAGGUAAAGGCUCACCAACCCGACAAUCUCUAGCUGGUCUGAGAGGAUGAACAGCCACACUGGGACUGAGACACGGUCCAGACUCCUACGGGAGGCAGCAGUGGGGAAUAUUGCGCAAUGGGGGCAACCUGACGCAGCCAUGCCGCGUGAAUGAAGAAGGCCUUCGGGUUGUAAAGGUCUUUCGGUAGCGAGGCGUUAACUACAGAAGAAGCACCGGCUAACUCCGUGCCAGCAGCCGCGGUAAUUC
rnacentral:rRNA from 1 species